rnacentral:rRNA from 1 species
UACGUAGGGGGCUAGCGUUGUCCGGAAUCAUUGGGCGUAAAGAGCGUGUAGGCGGCCCGGUAAGUCCGCUGUGAAAGUCGGGGGCUCAACCCUCGAAUGCCGGUGGAUACUGUCGGGCUAGAGUUCGGAAGAGGCGAGUGGAAUUCCCGGUGUAGCGGUGAAAUGCGCAGAUAUCGGGAGGAACACCAAUGGCGAAGGCAGCUCGCUGGGACGGUACUGACGCUGAGGCGCGAAAGCGUGGGGAGCGAACAGG